AAUGAACGUUGGCGGCGUGGAUUAGGCAUGCAAUCGAGCGAGAACCUUCAGCAAUGGAGGGGAAAGCGGCGAAAGGGAGAGUAACGCGUGGAUCAUCUACCCUCGGGUCUGGGAUAGCCGCGGGAAACCGCGGGUAAUACCGGAUAACGGCCCUGGACCAAAGGUGCGAUUCCGCCUGAGGAUGAAUCCGCGUCCUAUCAGCUUGUUGGCGGGGUAACGGCCCACCAAGGCGACGACGGGUACUGGGUGUGAGAGCACGACCCAGCUCACUGGGACUGAGACACUGCCCAGACACCUACGGGUGGCUGCAGUCGAGGAUCUUCGGCAAUGGGCGCAAGCCUGACCGAGCGACGCCGCGUGCGGGAUGAAGGCCUUCGGGUUGUAAACCGCUGUCAGUGGGGAGGAAAUGCGCGGGGGUUCUCCCUCGCGUUUGACCUAUCCGCAGAGGAAGUACGGGCUAAGUUCGUGCCAGCAGCCGCAGUAAAAC
rnacentral:rRNA from 1 species